AGGAAGUAAGAUACUAGGCUUGUUUACUGAAUAACACUGGCCUUCACUUACUCUUCCAAUAUUAUAAAUGCUUUCUGAUGACUUCACUGUAUCAAGUCCACGGUGAGGACAGAUACGGAGCAGACAUUU